rnacentral:lncRNA from 1 species
AUCAUGAACGGCGACAGAGUUUGAAAGCCAUGCGUUACUGGCGAUUGGUAAAAAUGAGAGCUCCCCGACGGCCCCCCUUGGGACCCUUCCUGCGCCGAUGGCCUACUUAUCGGUGGUCCGCUCGGCAUUACAGGAAAUGGAGCUGAUCCGGGCAUUUGGCUCCAACCUGCCAUAGGAUUCGGAAAAGGAUACAUGUACGGGUUAGGGUACAUAUAAGGGCUAGGAAACAUAUCUGGCAUCAUAGGGAAAGGUGAAUACGUGGGUAUCAUCUGUUGAAUUGCUGUGUCAGGUGACUGCGUCGGUGCUCUCGUUGGGGACGGUGAUUGCAUGGCCGCUGAUGAUGAACUGGGUGAAUGUCUGGGCCUCGUUGGGGGGCUGGCCUCGUGGUCUUGUCCCCUUGGAUUUAGAGGCCCACGCCUUUCCUUUCCGACACGUAAUUGCUGCUGCCUCUC